rnacentral:rRNA from 1 species
AACGAACGCUGGCGGCAGGCUUAACACAUGCAAGUCGAGCGCACUCUUUUAGAGUGAGCGGCAGACGGGUGAGUAACGCGUGGGUAACCUACCUCUUAGCGGGGGACAACUAUUGGAAACGAUAGCUAAUACCGCAUAAUAAUUUUUAACACAUGUUAGGAAUUUGAAAGUACCAACUGGUACACUAAGAGAUGGACCCGGGUUGUAUUAGCUAGUUGGUAGUGUAAUGGACUACCAAGGCGAUGAUACAUAGCCGACCUGAGAGGGUGAUCGGCCACAUUGGGACUGAGACACGGCCCAAACUCCUACGGGAGGCAGCAGUAGGGAAUCUUCGGCAAUGGACGAAAGUCUGACCGAGCAACGCCGCGUGAGUGAAGAAGGUUUUCGGAUCGUAAAACUCUGUUGUUAGAGAAGAACGUCAGUGAGAGUGGAAAGUUCACUGAGUGACGGUAUCUAACCAGAAAGGGACGGCUAACUACGUGCCAGCCGCCGCAGUAACAC